UACGGGGGGGGGCAAGCGUUGUUCGGAAUUACUGGGCGUAAAGGGCUCGUAGGCGCCAACUAAGUCAGACGUGAAAUCCCUCGGCUUAACCGGGGAACUGCGUCUGAUACUGGUUGGCUUGAAUCCGGGAGAGGGAUGUGGAAUUCCAGGUGUAGCGGUGAAAUGCGUAGAUAUCAGGAAGAACACCCGUGGCGAAGGCGGCACUCUGGGCCGAUUCUGACACUGAGGAGCGAAAGCGUGGGGAGCGAACAGG
rnacentral:rRNA from 1 species